AGAGUUUGAUCCUGGCUCAGGAUAAACGUUGGUGGUGUGCUUUAUGCAUGCAAGUCGUACGGGGUUAUAGUUUUCGAAUUAUAAUCUAGUGGCGAAUGGCUGAGUAAUACAUAGGUAACCUGCCUGUGAGUGGUGGAUAACUUGCUGAAAAGCAAGCUAAUACAGCAUACGAUAAGCAAGUAUUUCUUGUUUAUUAAAGUCUUCGGGCGCUCGCAGAGGGGCCUAUGCCUGAUUAGCUAGUUGGUGAGGUAACGGCUCACCAAGGCGAUGAUCAGUAGCUGGUCUGAGAGGAUGGUCAGCCAGAUGGGGACUGAGAUACGGCCCAACUCCUACGGGAGGCAGCAGCAAGGAAUAUUGGGCAAUGGGCGAAAGCCUGACCCAGCGACACCGCGUGAGGGAUUAAGGCCUUCGGGUUGUAAACCUCUUUUCUCGAGGAAGAAGUUCUGACGGUACUCGAGGAAUAAGCCACGGCUAACUACGUGCCAGCAGCCGCGGUAAUACGUAGGUGGCGAACGUUAUCCGGAUUUAUUGGGCGUAAAGAGAGUGUAGGCGGCUUGUUAAGUCGAGUGUUAAAUCUUCUGACUCAAUCAGGAGCUGCAUUCGAUACUGGUAGGCUUGAGGGCAGCAGAGGAAAACGGAAUUCCCAGUGUAGCGGUGAAAUGCGUUGAUAUUGGGAAGAACACCAGAGGCGAAGGCGGUUUUCCAGGCUGUAUCUGACGCUGAGACUCGAAAGCGUGGGGAGCGAAGCGGAUUAGAUACCCGCGUAGUCCACGCCUUAAACGGUGAACAUUAGGUAUGGGAAGUAUCGACCCUUUCUGUGUCGUAGCUAACGCUUUAAAUGUUCCGCCUGGGGAGUACGGUCGCAAGGCUAAAACUCAAAGGAAUUGACGGGGGUCCGCACAAGCAGCGGAGCGUGUGGUUUAAUUCGAUGAUACACGAAGAACCUUACCAGGGUUUGACAUGUCAGAAGUAGGAAACCGAAAGGUAGACGACCUGUAUCCAGUCAGGAACUGUCACAGGUGCUGCAUGGCUGUCGUCAGCUCGUGCCGUGAGGUGUUGGGUUAAGUCCCGCAACGAGCGCAACCCUUGUUCUAUGUUAAUUUCUCAUAGAAGACUGCCUUGUACAGCAAGGAGGAAGAAGAGGAUGACGUCAAGUCAGCAUGGCCUUUAUGCCCUGGGCUACACACACGCUACAAUGGGUAAUACAGAGGGUUGCCAAAGAGUGAUCUGGAGCCAAUCCCUUAAAAUUAUCCUCAGUUCGGAUUGUAGGCUGAAAUCGCCUACAUGAAGUCGGAGUUGCUAGUAAUCGCAGGUCAGCUAUACUGCGGUGAAUACGUUCUCGGACCUUGUACACACCGCCCGUCACGUCGUGGAAGUCGGAAACACUUGAAGCCAAUGUGUUAACUUGUUUUCAAGAAAUAGUUGUCGAAGGUGGAGCUGAUAACUGUGGCGAAGUCGUAACAAGGUA
rnacentral:rRNA from 1 species